CUGGGGCUGAAGUAGGUCCCAAGGGUAUGGCUGUUCGCCAUUUAAAGUGGUACGCGAGCUGGGUUUAGAACGUCGUGAGACAGUUCGGUCCCUAUCUGCCGUGGGCGCUGGAGAACUGAGGGGGGCUGCUCCUAGUACGAGAGGACCGGAGUGGACGCAUCACUGGUGUUCGGGUUGUCAUGCCAAUGGCACUGCCCGGUAGCUAAAUGCGGAAGAGAUAAGUGCUGAAAGCAUCUAAGCACGAAACUUGCCCCGAGAUGAGUUCUCCCUGACUCCUUGAGAGUCCUGAAGGAACGUUGAAGACGACGACGUUGAUAGGCCGGGUGUGUAAGCGCAGCGAUGCGUUGAGCUAACCGGUACUAAUGAACCGUGAGGCUUAACCUUACAACGCCGAAG
rnacentral:rRNA from 1 species